GGAUGGACCAGUUGAGGAGGAGGUCAACGGACAGUGCUUUUGACAGGCCAAAACCAAAGACCGCAGAGUCAGCGAGAGGUCACGAAGGACGUUCGGCCAGAGGAGCCUACGCCUGCUGGGCCCGAGACUGGACUGGACUCGAGGGGAUUCUUCCUGAAUUCGCACUGCAGGACUGUCUGCCUAGAGAUGCAACUGCAGUCAGACCGAAGUAAUCGAAGCAGGAUAUGAGAGCCGGUUGUUAGCCUGUAGUUGUUUAUCUCACACCGUUCCCUGGAAACUCUCAGCACCUUGGCAACGAGAUUGCCAAUUCCUCCAGGAUGUUAUUUGGUUGCAUGAAGGCCAUACAGUGUUUGUUUCUGUUGGCAAAUGGCAGACCACCAAAGCAAGAUUGCAACUGAGGUGCUGAGUAAGUAUCCAAAAAUAGAGGUAUGUUGACGAAUGAUGACCAUUUACACGAGGCAAAUGUCUAAAGUCUAAAGAAAGAAGAGCGAGAGAGAACGUUGUCGUUCCUUUUUUUGUGGUCAUAUUGUUUGUUAUAGAAGCCCUGUUGCUGUGAAUGACAGUGGGCUACUUCUGCCACUAGGGGGAACUUCUCUCUAGAAUGCCUCUGUUUAUAAAUCCACGGUUCUGCUUGUGUUGAGGAGUGGUGUUUUCUCCAUUGUAUUCUUUUUUGUUACAUUUACUUAAGCAUUUGAGAAGGUAAUACUCAGAAUUGUAUGUGUGGCAUAAUGUAGCUUGUCCUGUCAGCAUUUAUUGGUCACAGGUACGAACACUUCCCCAGCAGAUUAACAAUAAUUUACACAUACAACAGGAAGACUUCAAUUCCCAUGAUGCACCUGUAUCUUUAGUCCACAGGGACCAUCUAAAUAUAGUGGAUGCGACUGGGCCAGAGCUUUGGUGGUAGUAACCCAAGUCAAGAAUGUCCCCUUGGUCUCCCUUAACGUCCCAUAAACAUCUAUUAUCGUGUCAAAUCAGACAUGGAUCUUGUGCGUAAAAUGAUUAGCGUAAGCUGGUUCGUUAUGUUGUAAACAUGACUGUUCAAGAGUUUACCUUCUCUUUAGUUAUUUUACAGACGUGCAGAAUCCAUUUAACUGUUGUACAGAUAUGUUGU
ensembl:lncRNA